GAAAAAGUGAGAGUAGUGUUGAGCGAUAUUUCACUACCGCUGAUUUAGUCGCUAAUAUUUGAAAAUCACUGUCACUAGCGGCGACUUAACGACAGCUGCCAGUGAUUUUAACAGCGACCGAUCUAGCGCGCAUGUAUAGUAUUCUCAACUCUCUGAAGCGGCUUUCAGUGACAUGUGGUAGCGACCAGCGAGUAGCUGAUAGCGGUCAGCUAACCAGCUAUUCAAUAGCGAUUGAUCUAACGCGCGUGUACUGUAUUUAGCUCCAUGAAGCGGCUCCCGACGACAUCUGACAGAUAGAGCUUUUCGCUAGAUGCUAGGGAUUAGCGGCUAUUCUAGCUACUGCAGCCUUCAGUAAGCUUAUAUUACAUGCCAUUUGCUACUGGAAAAAAAUUACAUGUCAUUGCUGUUGCAGUAUCUAGGUUAAAUUACACUUUUUACACGCCAUUGCUUACAUUACACGCCAUCGCUACUGCCGCCUGCAGUAUCUGGUUAAAUUGCGUGGAAAAAAUUAUUAAUGAUUCCACUAUCAAAAUCUCUAAACUAAAAUUAAAGAUUAAAACCUAUCAAGAAAGAGAUACA
rnacentral:lncRNA from 1 species